AGCGUGGGUAGCGAAUGGGAUUAGAUACCCCAGUAGUCCACGCCCUAAACGAUGAUGACUGGCUUUUCGGAGUAUCGACCCUCUGAGAGGCGAAGCUAACGCGUUAAGUCAUCCGCCUGGGAAGUACGACCGCAAGGUUAAAACUCAAAGGAAUAGACGGGGGCUCGCACAAGCGGUGGAUUAUGUGGUUUAAUUCGAUGAUAAACGAAGAACCUCACCAAGACUAGAAACCAAGCUGCACGCUCUGUGAAAGCAGAGUUCCUUCGAGGGUGCUUGGCAGGUGAUGCAUGGCCGUCGUCAGUUCGUGGUUUGAACUGUUCCCUUCAGUGGGGUAACGAACGCAACCCUCAUCGUCUGUUAUAAGUGUCAGACGAGACCGCCCAGCCCUAAGCCGGUGAUUGGAGUGAUGUAUAUACGCGCUCAGUAGUAAUACUGCUGAGCAGGAUAUGCACAUUCCGAGAAUCAUAAGCUUAGGGCUGGGAGGAAGGCGGGGAUGACGCCAGGUCAGCAUGUCCCUUGAUGUCUUGGGCUACACACGUAAUACAAUGGCCGGUACAACGGGUCGCGACGGGGUAACCCUGAGCCAAUCCUAAGAAAGCCGGCCCCAGUUCGGAUUGAGGUCUGCAACUCGACCUCAUGAAGUUGGAAUCGCUAGUAAUCGCAGGUCAGCUAAACUGCGGUGAAUAUGUUCCCGAGCCUUGUAC
rnacentral:rRNA from 1 species